rnacentral:rRNA from 1 species
CAGGCCUAACACAUGCAAGUCGAACGAACCGCGACCGAGUGCUUGCACUUGGUCAAGGUGAGUGGCGAACGGGUGAGUAACACGUGGGUAACCUACCUCAUAGUGGGGGAUAACAGUCGGAAACGACUGCUAAUACCGCAUAGGACAUGGAAUCACAUGAUUCUGUGAGGAAAGGUGGCGCAAGCUAUCGCUAAGAGAUGGACCCGCGGUGCAUUAGCUAGUUGGUAGGGUAACGGCCUACCAAGGCGAUGAUGCAUAGCCGACCUGAGAGGGUGAUCGGCCACAUUGGGACUGAGACACGGCCCAAACCCCUACGGGAGGCAGCAGUAGGGAAUCUUCCGCAAUGGACGCAAGUCUGACGGAGCAACGCCGCGUGAGUGAAGAAGGUCUUCGGAUCGUAAAGCUCUGUUGUUAGAGAAGAACAGCGCAUAGAGUAACUGUUAUGCGUGUGACGGUAUCUAACCAGAAAGCCACGGCUAACUACGUGCCAGCAGCCGCGGUAAUACGUAGGUGGCGAGCGUUGUCCGGAUUUAUUGGGCGUAAAGGGAGUGUAGGCGGUCUUUUAAGUCUGAUGUGAAAGCCCACGGCUCAACCGUGGAGGGUCAUUGGAAACUGGGAGACUUGAGUGCAGAAGAGGAGAGCGGAAUUCCAUGUGUAGCGGUGAAAUGCGUAGAUAUAUGGAGGAACACCAGUGGCGAAGGCGGCUCUCUGGUCUGUAACUGACGCUGAGGCUCGAAAGCGUGGGGAGCA